rnacentral:lncRNA from 1 species
CGCCCCGAGGCGCGUUUAGGGCGCGCCUGCCGCGAGCUGGUCCGAGGGGGGGGCCCUCCCCCGGGCCCCGCAACCAGAUAAAACCCGCGCGCUCGACUGCGAGCCGCCACGGCCUGGAGCGCGCGCCCGCGCAGCCGCUGAGGUCCCCAUUUGCAGUCGCUCAACCCCUGGCUGGACGACCGCGUCCCCGGCACCUUCUCUACACCAGCUCGGCUCCAGGCCGCCGGGGGGCACGGCAGGGCGCGCCCGCGGAGGUCACUGCCCCCUGGGGCCGCGUUGCACUCCGUAGGGAGGAGGAGAGGGCGGGUAACAGAGCACCACGAGGCUCUAAGAAGUGCCGUGUAGGGGAUUAAGACAAGCUGCUGCCACGGAAAGUGAUAAUCGGUUACAUUAGAUCCCGUGGUCAAGGAGGACCUCUGGGGAGGUGCAUCUAAGCUCUGAGACCUGAGCCGAAAGGACAAAGAUGAGGGGGGGAGGGGCACUCCAGGUGGAAGAAAUAGCUCGUCCUGAGGCCCCAGGGUUGGCCUGUGAGCGGCCUAUUCAAAGGAGGCCGGCGGGGCUGGGAUGGGCCCGGGAAGGGGUGAGGGAUGAGGUCAGAGCGGCCGGAUCAAGCUUGAUUCUAAGGCAGCUGGGAAAGCAGUAGGGGGUUAGCACCGAGCAACAUGACCUGAUUUGCCUUUUAAGAGGCUCCCUGUAGCCCGCUUGUGGGGAAGGGGUGGGGUAGGUGCACAGAGAGGUCUAGAUUCAGUACCUCGUUCCCCACCCAUCUGCCCCUCUCUCCAGGUGGAUGUUCAGGAGGGGGUGGUGGGGAGUGGAUGAGCCGGAGAAGCUUAGUUUUUGAGGGUGAAGCCCUAGAGGACCUCAGGGUUCCCAGAACUUGGCCCAGGUGAGCCACUGUUCUCUCCACAGGCCCAACCCCGUGCAAAUGAAUCCGGGUUUGGAGAGGGUUUCAGCUUACACUUGGGGAGGCGGCAAGCCACUCCCCCGUCCCAAGCCAGAUCAAACAGCUCCCUGGAGGUAUCCCCCAAAGGAAGCCCGUGCAGAGAGCUCCUGGAAGAGAAGAGAAAUGAGUGGGGUCACUGGGGACCUCAGCUUGGUGUCCCCAUAUUCCUGCAUGAGGAAGAUGGCCAGAGGAUAGGGGAGGAGGACAAGGCAAUGCUUCUGGAAAUUUAAGACGCCAAGUUCCAGCCCCGGUGCCUCCCUCUCCAAUGUUGUCCUGGUCACCUCUGGAGGCGGGACCCGGCAGCUCUGAGGAGCCCCCUGGUGGCCCAAGCAGUUGCUGCGGCCACACAGGCCAAGGCGCGCUCUCUCCUGGGCAUCCACAGACAUAGGACCUUUCUCAGGGCCCCAGACCUUGUGCCAGGCACUUCGCUGGGUGCCACCAGGGAAACAUCAUCUUCCAACAGCCCUGUGAGGUGGGCGUUACCCCGAUUUAUAGAUGUGAACGCCUGGAGGGGCCUGUCCUGUAUCAUCAGGCUGCUGCUGCAAAUCCACUGUUGGGGAAAGAAGCCAGAGGCAGAGCAUGAACAACAAUGACAUGAAGGCGUAUUUAUUUUUCAAAUAAUGAUCGAGCACGCUGGUGCAUGCAUAAACUCUGGAGGACCAUGCAAGUACCUGGCAUGGCCAGGGGCUUCUGGAAGGAGAGCUGGGGGGCUGGGGUAUAGAGUGGGAACAAACCAUUUUCACUGGGCUUAGUUUUGUGCUUUUUGAUUUUUGAACUAUAUAGAAGUAUUACCUAUACUUAAAAAUUCAUGAAAGACG